GAAAUAUUGUACCUAACUAAAUAUUUAGGCUUUUGUUAGCCUGAUAACGUUAUGUGAUUAUCUGGAGCAUAUUUUAUGUGUACAGUUCCGUAGCAUUGGUGAAUGCAAGCAUUUUGUGGCUUUAGUUAGAAGUUUAUGGACGAACAAGUGUUAAACAAGGUUAUUUUAUGUGGUCGACAAACCAAACUCCGUUUUUAUGUAAGACUUGUUUUGGAUGUAUCUCGGAAACGUCGAGCAGUACUCGAUGAUGAUACUACUAGAGAUGUUCUCUAAUGGCAAUCUUCUGGCUUUAAAGGAGUUGAACGAGUUCAGUUGUGUAGCACAGCUAAAGUAUUAAGUGCGACAGCAAAUACCUGAACAAGAAAGGUAUAUUCAGCAAAGUGAUUAGAAGUCUAAAAGUAUGAGCCACAGUAAAAAAAAGAAGCGAAGCCAAAGCAAGAAAAAGAGGAGCAGGAGGAGAGAUAGGAGUGCAAGCAGGAGCAGCAGUGGCAGUGGUACCUCGUCAAGUGGACAAAGUUCAGCUGCUAGUAGCCGCAGCCCGAGCAGGACAUGGCGGCACAGUAGUCGCAGUGUAACUCGAUCACACCGGAGAGGCAGUCGCAGUAGAAGUCGUGUUGGUCGACGAAGUAGUAGGAGCUUGAGUCGCAUUCGGCGUCAAAUUAGUCGCAGUUUGAGUCGAAUACGUAGAAGAGUAAGCAGGACACGCAGCCGUAGUCGGCCAAAACUUCGUGGACGGCGCAGUAGUAGAAGUCUGAGUCGUAUUCGCAGGGAAGUUAGUCGGAGUUUGAGUAGAAUACGGAGGCAGAGACGCAGUCCCAGUCGUAGCCUCCGCCGCUGGAGAACUCCGACCCGCAGCCUAAGUCGCCUCAGGUGGUUGCGCAGGGCACGGACUCCAAGCCGUAGUCGCAGCCGUCGGCGUCGUAGGAGGAGCAGUGUGAGUCGUAGCCCAAGCAGGCUACGGAGGCGCCGAAGCCCAAGCAUUCGGAGGCGAAGACGAACUGUAAGUCGUAGUGUAAGUAGGCUAAGGAAGAGUAUCAGCCGAAGUCUAAGUCGCAUCCGCAGAAGACGACGUAGCCUGAGCCAUAAACGUAGUAUAAGUGGCAAACGGAGCCGGAGUCACAAACGUAGUCCGAGCCAGAAACGAAGUUUAAGCCUUAAGCGUAGCCCGAGCUGCAAACGAAGCCUUAGCCGCAAAAGAAGUUUGAGCCGCAACCGCAGUGUUAGCAAUAGGCAUAGUCCUUCUCCGACACCACUCGGUAAAUCACGUAGGGGUAGGAGUCAGUCACCUUCUUCGAGAAGAAGCUCAAGUCACAACAGGAGUGUAUCUCCUACCCCAAGAAGGAGUGAGAGCAGAAAAAGAAGCGAUUCUCAAGUUCAGCAGAAUACUUCAAGUAAAAGACGCAGUUGUAGUGUGAGGAAAUCCAGCCUGACAGGUAGUGUUAGUCGGAAACUAAGUGAAAGCCCUGUACGUAGCUUCAGUGGAAAGCGAAGUUUGAGUCCAGAGCACAGUCCAAGUUGCAGCAGAAGCUCUGCUCGUCAAAAGACGGCAGAACAGAAAAGUUCCAGGUCUCAGAAGCAUCAAAGUGCACACAGUGAAAAGAACAACUCUCAUAAUACAAAAAGCCUUACACCAUGUAAGAAUUCUGUUGCUAGUGAAGAGCAAAGUAAGGAAACCAACGGUGGGGAAAACGAGAAAAUUACUGAGAUCUUCAUCAAACAGGAAGUGCUAAGUGAGGAUGAAUCUGCUGAACCUACAGUCCAGGCUCUUGCGUCACCAAACUCUUCAUGUUUUGGCGACACUAUUGGGGCAGUACCUAGUACUGCUAUUAAAGUAGAAAGUGCAGUGGAAGAUAUGAAGAAUGGUGAAAAGGUGGAAGUUAAUGGCACUUGCAAUACAGAUAAUCAGAACAGUGGUGGUGAUGCUGUUAAUGCAAAUACGUGCGAAAACCACAAUGCAGAAAGUUUACCUAUUAUGAGAAGAAAUAAUAAAUUGUUAGAUGAUACUGAAUGUGUUAGUCAAACUAAAAAGGUAGAACAUGAACCAGAAAAUGCUAGUAAGGGAGAGCAACAGUGUGUACAAGAUGCUGCUGGAAAUGAGAACCAUGAUUCUAAUAAAGGGCUAUCUGCAUCAGUUGAAACUCCAUUGGCUGCAGUCAUAGCAACUAAUGAUACGAAACAAAGAGAGAAGGAUAUAAAAAAGGCAAAACGUAAGAAGAAUAAAACACAGUCCGUUGAAAAUCAGGAAAGUGGAGAACACAACAGGAAGCGAAAUAAAAGGAAGGAAGCAAAAAUACAGGGAAUAGUUGAUGCAGUUCAAGAAAAUGAAGCUGCAUUAGUGGUGUGUAGAACUGAAACUGGCCAGGUUGUUGGGGACGUAUCUACAGUUGAAGCAGAUGAAAAGUGUAGUAUCAGUGUUGAAAAUCAGGGGUUAGUGACUGAAGAACAUCACAUCACAAAUGACCAGAGCAGUGAAAUAAUAAGUGGUACAAAGGAAGAAGGAAAACCAAUUCAAGAAUGUGGGAAGAGCACAGUGGAAGAAAAGAAACACAAAAGAAAUAAAAAAAAUAAGCGACAUAAGUGUGAGGAAGAUCGGAAAUGUGCUAGCGGAAUUAAAGAAGAGAAAUCUGAUGGACAGCUUGUAGGAGAAGCAGCAGAACAUAUGAGAACCAACAACUGUAGUGCAGUAGCCAAUGCAGAGGGAGACAUACUGAAAGAUGGGCACAAGGAAAAGAAAAAAUCUGGAAAGCGCAAGAAAUCUAAGAAGGAAAAGAAGUCUAAGAAAGACAAAAAAAGAUCUACAAGCGAAGAGAAAAAACCAAAAAUUAUUUUGGAGCACAUCUUAAAUGAUGAAAAAGCUGUGGAAGAUGAAGAUAAAAUUCAGAUUGAUGAAGAACAUGAGGAGAAACAACAUGAAAAUAUUGAGGCUAUUGAAAAUAAUGUUAAUGUAGAACCAAAAACAGUAGAUGAACAGACACAACAAAAUAACGAACAAACAGAGGCUAACAUAACCAUUCCACAUGCAUCAGAGGAAACUUCUGAAGCAAUUACAGAAAGCAAAACUGUAGAGCUUGACAGUGUACCAUUAGAAUCUCAGAUGAAGGCAAAUGAAGAAAUAAAUAUGACAGAGCAUUCAUCUGAUACUACAACAAACACAUUUACAGAAGGUGUUCCAACUCAGGAAAAUGUCAAGUUGCCAGAGGAAGUUAAAAAAAGUGAUGAUGCUGUAACCAUUCAUGUGGAUGUAAUGUUAGACAGUCAAGAUGAAAAGAAUGGGGAUAAUGACCUUCCUGCUAAAGAUGCAGAGCAUCAAAAGACUGAAGAUUCUUGCAUUGAUGGGGAAGUUCUUGUUUGUGAAGACAGUUAUUUAGAUAGUUCUGGAACGAAUAAGGAUGAUAGCGAUAUAUUGAAGGUUGAUAGUAGUCCUGUGGAGCAGGAGGCUGAGAGAAGUGAUGAACAAAAAGAUGAGACUGUUGAUGGUAAAGAGGUUUCUGAGGACAGUAAAAUUAAUGAGGAGAAAGAAGAAGAUAAAGUGUGCAGUACAGAAAGGAAGCGCAGUAGAAGCAGAAGCAGCAAGCAUAGGAAAGAGAGUCGUAAACGCAGUGUCAGCAAAAAGAGAAGCCACAGUAGAAAGAGGAGUCGUAGUAGAAAGAGGAGCCGCAGCAGGAAGAGAAGUCGCAGCAGAAAACGGAGUCACAGCAGAAAAAGAAGCCGCAGCCGUGGAAAAAGUGGGAAAAGUCGUAGGAAGUCACGUAGUCGCAGCCGGAAAAGGUCCUCUAGCAGAAGCAAGAAGAGAUCACGCAGCAAAAAGAGAUCAAGAAGCCGUAAGAGAUCGAGGAGUAGGAAGAGAUCGAGAAGCAGAAAGAGGUCACGUAGUAGAAAGAGGUCUCGUAGUAGAAGGAGAUCUCGUAGUAGGAAAAGAUCCCGCAGUAGAAGACGGUCCCGCAGUAGAAGACGAUCACGAAGUCGCAGAAGGUCUCCAAGUAGAAGCAGAAGCCGAAGGCGUAGCCAGUCGCACAGUAGACGUGGAUCACGCGGUCGUAGACACAGGACACGCAGUAGAAGCCGAAGUCACAGGAGAAGAUCACGCAGUCGGAGGCGAACUGUCAGCCGUAGUCGCAGCAGGCGACGAUCUCGCACACGGAGUAGGCGAAGAUCACGGAGUCGAAAGCGACGCUCUAGGUCUCGAAGAAAAUCACGUUCUCAUAGCAAAGGUCGUAAGUCCAAACAUAGCCGAACUCGCAGCCGAAGCCAUAGUUGUAGCCGUAGUCGAAGCCAAAGUGGCACUGGAAGUGGAGACCGUAAGAAGAAACGUGAAGCUGAAUCAGAAUCUUCUAAUGAAGGUAAAAAUGUUGGCAAUGAAGACAGAGACAGCAAAGGUGGAAGUCCAGGUGGAGGAGGUGCUAGUGGUAGUGGCAGUGGCAGUGGGGCUGGCGGUGGGGGCUCUGAACCUGGGUCAGCUGGUGGUGGUAUAUCAGGUAAUGCAGAUACAAAUGAUAGUCACUCAUCUCCACCUCAAAGGGAUUCACAGGCUCCAGCAGAUGAUCAAGAUGGGCAAGAUUCAAAAUGUAUUGAUGAUAAUGUGCAAACGGUUACUCCUCAAGAACCUGUUAAUGAUGCUCAUACAAUUGUUCCUCAAGAAUCUUUUAACACUGAACAUGGGAAAGAAAUGCCUUCCAAUGUACAUAGCCAAGAAAGACCUGAUCCCAACAGUAGGGAUGAAGAUGAUAGUAGUGAACACUGUAUAAGUGCUACAGGUAGCCAGUUUGUUACCGAUGACUGUAGUACAAAUAUGUUGAUCCACAGUAAAUGCUUACCAGGUAGGACUCAGUUGGAAAUAAAUGAACCCCAGCACUUUGACGCCCAAGAAACUCUGAACUCUGAUGGAGAAGCACAUGCUAAGGAUGAAAAUGGUUCAUAUAUGGGGUAUCGUGAGGGAGCCAUAAUUGCUAAAUUUGAAAGCUCUUCUGAUGGGUCUAAGUGCAAUGCAAACUGCACUCGUGAUGCAAAGAAAAAUGAAGCAAGUGAUUGUUAUAUACCAAAACUGUCUAGUUCUGCACUGGAAAAUACCAUUUUGAGCAUUGAACAUACUGGUAGUGAAAGCAGCAACCUUUUAGACCCUAAGGCCAACUGUAAUGCUCACAUUAGUUCGAAUAAUGCUAUACCUGUAACCGAAAGCAAUGGGAAUAAAUUUAAUUCAGAAAAUCAGUGUCAGGAAGAUUUAGGGGUCGUAAGAUGUGAUGGUGGAGAAAAUUAUGAACAGAAUAAUCUUGCAGCUGAAGUUGUUGGUAAUGAUCAGAGAAGUUGUAGUGUUAAUACAUUAUUGUCAAUUUCACAUACUUUGACAGGACAGUUAGACAAUAAUUUGAACGGAAUGGAAUGUUCUAAUGAUUGUAUUAGGGAAGUAGUUGAUGAUGAAGAAGAGUGUAUUAGUAUUGCAGCCAGCUAUGAAGGAAUAUUAGAAAACACAGAUGAGAUGGAAUCUAUUGCUUGUGAUGACCAGCCUGAAAUGGGAGAAAGAAAUUUUGAAGGUGAACAGAAAAAGACCGAAAAUUGCCAGUCUAAUCGAAAAAAUUCAGAACUUUUGGAGUGCAUUAAAUCUGAUCAAAAUUCUCCACCAUCAGCAGGUCAGAGUGAAGUUAAAAAGAGUCAUAGUGCUGAGAAUGAAAAAUCUGCAGGUAGCAGCGAAAAAAGAAAUACUGCCCACAUAGAUGAUAAGACUUGCAGCAAAGACAAGAAAGAGAAGAGCAAAGAAAGCAAAUGUCAUGCAAAGUCAGCAAAAAGAAGUAGGAGUGAAAGAAGUCAUAGUAGUAGCAGAAAGAAAUCAAAUAGGAGAAGUAAAAGCCACAGUAAGGACAGAAAAAGUAGUAAAGACAGAAAGAGAAGUGAAAGCAAAAAUUGUAAAAGAAGCAAGCACAGUAGCAAAAGCAGGAGCCACAGUAGGGAUCACAGAAGGCGCAGAAGCAGGAGUAACAGCAAAGAUCGAAAAGGCAGUGGAAGCCGAAGUAUAAGUAGAAGUGAAAGCAAAAAAAGCAGUAAUGAGAGCAAAAGCAAAGAAAGGAAAGAUGCAAAGACCAAAACAAAAAAAAUAGAAGCAGACUCUAAGGAUGAAGAUUCUUGUAAAGUAGAAAGUACUAAUAAAGAAAGUGAGGCAAGUGAUAAUUUAUUAACAACUAAAACACAGGGCACUAAGGUUCUGCAAGAACAAAAUAAUACCUCAGGACAGGGCACUGCUGCAGCUACAGGAGUCAUUGGCUCAGUUGACAGUAUUAUAGAGAAAACUAGCAGCGAGGAAAACAGUGAAACUCCUCACGAUCAACUCGUAAGUGAUACGAAUGAGAAGUCUAAUGCCAUUACUGCAAGUGUAGAAAACUGCAUUCAAGAUGAGAAGAACUUUUGUGAGGAAAUAGACUGUGUUACUGAAAUUGAAGAAAAAGAAUGUGAGGCCAAAGAGAAGAAGAAUAACGAAGAAAAACAAGACAAUGAGAAUGAAGAUGUAAGCAAGAGUUGUAGUAAGAACAGAAGUCAUAGCAAGGAUAAAACUACUGACAAAGAGAACAAAGAGAGCAAGACAGAGGAAAAUAACAACAGUCACAAUGAGGUAGAGAGGAAGGUAGUGAAUGCCAAUAAAGAAAGGAAGAAGGGUGAGAGUCACAGCAAAGAAAGAAAGAGAAGUAAGAGUUGCAGUAAAGAAAGAGAAUCCAACAAAAAUAAUGACAAGGGAAGGAAAAAAAGCAGGAGCCACAGCAAAGAGAAGAGGAAGAGAAAGAGUAAGAGUCAAAGCAAGGAGAGGGGGAGGAGCAAAAGUCGAAGCAGGGAGAGAAGGAAGAGGAGCAACAGCCACAGCAAAGAGAGGAGGAAGAGCGAAAGCCAAAGCAAAGAAAGGAAGAAGAGCAAGAGCCGUAGCAAAGAAAGAAAGAGAAGCCGUAGCCGCAGCAAAGAGAGGAGGAAGAGAAAAAGUAAAAGCCACAGCAAGGAGAGGAAAAGGAAGAGCAGAAGCCGAAGUAAAGAUAGAAGGAAGAGAAGCAAGAGCCGCAGCAGGGAGAGGAAGAGAAGCAAGAGCCGCAGCAGGGAAAGGAAGAGAAGCAAGAGCCGCAGCAAGGAGAGGAAGAGAAGCAAGAGCCGCAGCAAGGAGAGGAAGAGAAGCAAGAGCCGCAGCAAGGAGAGGAAGAGAAGCAAGAGCCGCAGCAAGGAGAGGAAGAGAAGCAAGAGCCGCAGCAAGGAGAGGAAGAGAAGCAAGAGCCGCAGCAAGGAGAGGAAGAGAAGCAAGAGCCGCAGCAAGGAGAGGAAGAGGAGCAAGAGCCGCAGCAAGGAGAGGAAGAAGAGGAGCAAGAGCCGUAGCAAGGAAAGGAAGAAGAGUAAAAGCAGCAGCAAGGAGAGGAAAAGGAGCAAGAGCUGUAACAAGGAUGUGAAAAGUAGGAGUCUUAGCAAGGAGAAAAGUAGCAAAAACGAUAGUAAAGAGAAGAAGAGAAGCAGUAGUUGCAGCAAGGAAAGCAAGAAAAGAAAGCGCAGAAGUAGAAGUAAUGAAGAGAAAAAGCGCAGGAGGAGGAGGUCAAGGUCUCGUUCAGGGCUACAUAUAGAUAAGAAAAAACUGCUUGAAAUUGCAAAGCAGAAUGCUAUGGCCAUGUUACAGAAGGAGGUGAUGUUAAGUUCUGUCAUAAACCAUGGGAAAAUAGUGGCAAUGCAAGCUGGUGGCAAGAGUGUAGCUGAAUUGACAGAUUUUUGUAAGAAAUUAUCAGAAAAAGAGGCUCGACAGAACCUGCAUUCGAGUAAUACGGACACGGACUCGGAGAAUGACACUGACUUGGAACGUCCAUAUCAUCAUCCAUUCGAACUUAAGCAACAGCCCUUACCUUCCUACUACAACUCAUCCAAGGGUUUGAUGUCUUUGAAGCAGAAGCAGUUGCCUGAGCCACCCAAGUUAUUAAGUAUAGAAUUUCCUAGUAUUCCACGUAAUGCAGAGAAUGAAUGGGUCCCUGUGUCACCGAAGGCUGCAGAUGUUGCUGGUCCCAACAUCCCCGACGAGAAGUCGCACAGUGGUCAGACAGCUAAGGGUGAAGUGUCUCCCAGCCAGAACUGUCCAUCUGAGGUUCAGAAUGAAAAGAGCACCAUCAUCAGCAGUGACAGCACCAUCGCUACUGGCACCACCAUCAGCAGCGAUAGUCCUCAACUCGGCAACAGCUUCGAGGGGGGUCGGUUGGGGGAAGCAGAGCGAGCACAGAGAGAUAUGCGGCCUGCGAGCUGGCGUCUCACCUGGAGGACAACAGCAGCUAGCAGUCAUCAGAUCACUCGUCCCAUCACAGCAUCCGAGAAUGUGCAGUCAUCAAAACUUAAAAUAUCAGUCAGAUCUGAACUGAAAGACACAGUGAGAAAGGAUAAACUUCAGUCAUCAGGCCAUGCUGCAGAUAUGGUAUCGAAAUCAGAUGAUGUGCAGAUUCAGGAGAAGCACCUGGAUCCUAACACAGGUGGAGGAGAACAGGACGUUUUGGCAUUAAAUGAACUAUGUAUAAAAUGUCAGUGGAAACCACCAGAAUUUGAGAGCUGCCCCACUACUGGAAACGAACACAUUUUCAAAUUACUGCAUAAGUGCUGUCAUCCGGGCCAGCUGUACAAAGGUUUUUUAAUGAGAUGUCCUCCUGUCUAGAUGUGUGUCUGAUUCAGUUGGCCUUCCUCUGCAGAAUAGUAUUCAGAAUACAUAUCCAUAUAAGGUGUGUGUAAAUGGACAGGAAUUCAAGUCGGCAGUUGCCAGUAACAACCAAAAUGCAGCCAAAGCAGAUGCUGCCCGUGUAUGUCUUGAAUCCAUGUGCCGAACAUUGACAGACAAUGCACUUCUGCAUU
rnacentral:misc_RNA from 1 species